rnacentral:rRNA from 1 species
AUCGAACGCUGGCGGCAGGCCUAACACAUGCAAGUCGAACGAGUGGCUGACGGGUGAGUAAUGUCUGGGAAACUGCCUGACGGAGGGGGCUAAAUACUGGAAACGGUAGCUAAUACCGCAUACCACCAGAUCUGCCCAGGUGGGAUUAGCGAGUUGGUGGGGUAAAGGCUCACCAAGGCGACGAUGCCGAGCUGGUCUGAGAGGGUGACCGGCCACACUGGGACUGAGACACGGUCCAGACUCCUACGGGAGGCAGCAGUGGGGAAUAUUGGGCAAUGGGCGCAAGCCUGAUGCAGCCAUGCCGCGUGUAUGAAGAAGGCUUUCGGGUUGUAAAGUCCUUUCGUCGGGGAAGCGUUACCCACAGAGAAAGCACCGGCUAACUCCGUGCCAGCCGCCGCGGUAAUAC